GAGGGUAUAGCUCAGUAGUAGAGUGCAUGCUUAGCAAGCAUGAGGUCCUGGGUUCAAUCCCCAGUACCUCCA
rnacentral:tRNA from 1 species